ACGCUUCGCGGCCUCCGCGUCCCCGUGCUCCGCGGCGAUGGCGACGUACGUGAGCGAGCUGGAGGCGGCCAAGAAAAGCCUGAGCGAGGCGCUGGGCGAGAAUGUGAAGCAGUACUGGGCCAACCUGAAGCUCUGGUUCAAGCAGAAGAUCAGCAAGGAGGAGUUUGACCUGGAGGCGCGGCGGCUGCUCACCCAGGACAACGGUAACGUCCACUCACACAACGACUUUCUCCUGGCCAUCCUUACCCGAUGCCAGAUCUUGGUUUCUGCACCAGAAGGUGCUGGAUCUCUGCCGUGGCCAGGUGGCUCCGCAACCAAACCUGGAAAACCCAAAGGGAAGAAAAAGAUUUCGUCAGUGCGGCAGAAGUUUGAUCACCGGUUCCAGCCUCAGAAUCCAUUGUCUGGAGCCCAGCAGUUUGUGGCUAAAGAUCCUCAGGAGGAUGAUGACCUGAAGCUGUGUUCCCAUACCAUGAUGCUUCCCACGCGUGGCCAGCUAGAAGGAAGGAUGAUUGUAACUGCGUAUGAGCACGGGCUGGACAACGUCACAGAGGAUGCGGUGACAGCUGUGGUUUAUGCUGUGGAGAACCACCUUAAGGACAUUCUGACAUCUGUGAUAUCCAGACGAAAAGCCUAUCGGCUGAGAGAUGGCCACUUCAAGUAUGCCUUUGGAAGCAAUGUCAAUCCUCAGCCAUAUCUGAAGAACAGUGUUGUUGCUUAUAACAAUUUAAUUGAGUGCCCUCCAGCCUGUGUGACACCUUCUGCUGGUCAGAGCGUAGCCCCUCAGCCCCCACCUGAUGAUGCGGAGCAGCAGGCAGCGCUACUGCUGGCGUGCUCUGGAGAUACUUUGCCAGCAUCCCUCCCUCCAGUGAACAUGUAUGACCUUUUUGAGGCGUUACAGGUACACAAGGAAGUUAUUCCUGCACACACUGUCUACGCCCUAAACAUUGAGAGAAUUGUCAUGAAACUGUGGCAUCCAAACCACGAGGAGCUACAGCAGGAUAAGAUCCACCGCCAGCGCCUGGCAGCAAAGGAGGGCCUUCUACUCUGCUAGAGCCUGGCAGCCACGUCGGGCCCCUGAUGGCUGCUGUGCUGUUCCUUGGACUUGAUGCUGGGAUGCUUCUUAAAAUCCCAUGUUUGUGCUUCAAGGAAGAUCUGUGUGCAUCCAUCCUGUGGCUGGCCCUGUUCCCCAUGGAGCAGCCUGGUCCCUGUGCGAGGUGCCUUGCUGAGGUAUGGUUCCCUUUCCUGUCCCGCAUUUGAAGGGCAAGGCCACUGCCUGUCCCCACACCCCCACUUACAGCUGAGCUCAGCAUCCUGGAGCUGUUCACACAGCAGCUGCAUUAUCCCUUUGCUUUGGGUUUCUCAGUUUCACUCCUGCCUGAUGCAAAGGCAGCACUGCUGACGCUCAAGCAGAGCAUCCUGUUUCCAAAACAGCUGGUGUAGUCCUGCUAUCUUCAGCAUCCUUGUUCCCAAAGGAAGACAGCAAAGCAUCAGAGAGGCAGAAGGCAUAGAAUGAGUGGAUGAUAAUAUUGCAGUCCCCUUCACCUGUGUGUGGAAGUAGGGUUGUGCAUUGUGGGGUGCUGCAGGUUCCUAAUACUUUGUUCCUGAAGCUGUCAAGAAAAAAACAGCAUAGAGAGGUACGUGUAUGGGCUGUCCUCACUCCACUUGGGCAAUAAUAGGGACAGUUUGCAUUAUUUUAGACUUCAGGACACCCAUGGUUAGAAAAAAACAGAAGAGGAAAAGACAAACACCUUUGUAUAGGCAUGAGUACAGACACACACAGAGAGCCCUGUCAUGCUGAAGGUACUGUGUUCUGUUGCUCAGCCCAGCUGAUCCCUACUGUGGUUCUGUGGACUGACUAACCCCAGUGGGGCAGUCCCAGCCUCCAGGGGCUUGGUGGAUGGAUUCAUACUUUUGAAGAGAACAAGAUGGUGUGCCACAUACAGAAUGCUAUCUUCCCUCCUGUGCUGCUGUCUGUCAUUGAACAGGAGCUCUCUGGCUCUUCCAGGUCUGAGCAGCCCAUACCUGAUGGGCGAGCACCAAAAAGCUCUGGAGAUAGAGUGGCCCUUUUCUGACAGUAGAGGCUGGUAGGUGGCAUCUAGCAGGGAUCACACAGGGGUGUGCCUCACCAAACAGCAGUAACACAAAUGCAUAAGCUGAGGCAGGAGCAUCCUUCCCUGUGCCUGAGGGGACACAGGCACCCACCUGAUCCUGGAUCCCUUGCUGGCAGUGGGGAAGCGGUACUGAGGCUGUUGGGUGCUGUGCUGCUGCUGGUGCAACUUGCUGCUGCAGGGAUGGGGAUGGAACAGGGCACAGAGCCCCGCAGGUGGCCUGGAGGGCAGCACAGGCACAGCCAUGCUGCUGGGCUGUGCGGGAGCUCCAGGCAACCCAGGCACCAGAACCUCACGUGAGACAUCAAAGCGCCUGAGGUAGCACAAGAUGCAAAUGAGCAAUACCUCAGAGCUGGUGCUUAACCACAGCCGUGUGUCUGCAUGUGCUGUGGAAUAACACGACGUUUCCCUUUUCUGAAGCUCCCUGUGUGAGGGCCCAUGCCUUCUCCCACAGCGCCCUGUGGGGCUGGAUUCAGGCUUGGCCUCAGCUGAGCUCUGCAGGGCUGUGGGCACUGCAGGCACUUCCAGAUCAGCCCUGAGGUACAAGGGCAGCACCAGAGAGCCAGGGGUAGUGCAUGGCUCUAGGGGUGCCUCUGCUGGCAUUGCAAUAAGGGUGUGCUCCUGGUACCCCAACCCUUCUGUCCAUCACAGUCUCAGAAAUGGUCUCAACCAAAAGCACGGACUUCAUAGAUCCUGCAGCCACGGGAGACCUCUUGGUGCACAGCCUGCUCUCCCUUUGUUCUUGUUGUUGUUUGUUAUUCUGUUAUUAAGCCUGGGCAAAGCUCCAAGAUUAUUACUCAUGGAAUCUUUCUGGGCCUUUGCUGGCUCAUUCCUUAAUGGUUUCCAACAAUGACAACCGUAGAGGAAAAAAAAAAACCAGUGGAUGCCCCUCAGAGCCUGCACUGCAGCAGGGGCUGGAAUGAGCCCUUGCCCAGUGUUUUCUCAAAACAACCAUCCAGUCCCUCUGGAAGUGUGGCCUCAGCCUCACGCUGCCCUCUGCCUUGGGCUGAAGUUGUGGACCAGGCUGACCUCUCGCCCGGGGAACUGAGGGGACUGUAGGAGCAUCUCCUGCCACGUCUGUGGUAUGGAGCUGCUGCUGCUUUCAAAACUGAAACAAGGGAGGGAAGAAAGCUAAGGAUCCCUUUCAGAUAGCGGAGCAUGGAGCCAUGUCUCAGGCAUGUCAGGACAUGAUAGCAGUGCCACUUGCCCUGCGCGGCUGAAGCAGGUGCAUGCUGUACUCUGGCUCAUUUACAGUCUGGAGAAAUGGAGCUGUGAGUUGGGGUUGCUGUGUGAGGCUCUGCUUCCCUAUGUGCUGCCCCAUGUGCUGCCCCAGUCCCUGCAGAAAUCCCCCCAAGCCUCCCCCUGGCUCCAUGGUGGCCGUGUGGGGCUGGGAGGCAGCAGCUAACGGUGAUGCAUGGUGCACUCCAUGGGGGGAAUUCCUCAGCAGUUUAGCCACAUCUUCACCCUGUCCCUAUCUGUGGUUUUUCUGCUCAUUUCAGAUGUGAGUUUUCUAUUUUUGAAGUACCUCAUCUCACGUCCAAUUCUCUCCUGGGAUCACUAGCCUGAAGCUCACUGCUUCAUGUCUCUGCUGUGCCCUACUCCUACCUGGCUCAGAGUUUACCCAGUAAGCAGGUCUGGGGUUUUGCUGGGCACAAGAGUGCUACUUUUUCAUUUGCUGGUUCCAGUGAGGAGUUGGUGGUGUCUCAGUAAAUGAGAUCUCUAUCUUUGCAUACAUCUUCCUGUAGAUUUUAUGAGUGCUCUUUGUUUCAGACUCAUCUUGGUGAGUCAGAGCACCGGGGGCAGAGACCCAAGGCAGCAGCCCCCGGCCAGGGACACCGGCCUCCAGCCAUGUGCAGGGUGGGAAGCACUCCCCAAAGGCUGAUGAAGAGAUGACGUGGCUGCAGGCCAGAUGACUGGAGAAGAUCAUCUUUCCUGCUGUCACAACCAUUGGCGUCACAGGCGUGAAGCUGGUAGCAGUGGCAGGGUUAGGGUUGGGGACAUCAAGGGCAGGGGGCAUACCCCAGUGCUGGCACAGACCUGAGAAGACAGGUUAAUGGUGAGAACAGGCUCGAAUCCACAACACCAUCUCACACCCCUGUGCUGUGCAUUACAGAUACUGUGCUUGCAGAUCUCUUUUUUUUUUUUUAAAUUAUACAGGAGGUUAAUAGCCCUUUUCCCAAAGACAGCUGCACAGAUGAGAUGUGCUUCGCAGUGGGGUAGUAGAAUCUUGGUGAAGCACUAAAGAAAAGAAAAUCACAUGCAAGCCUAACAGGAAGCAGUACUGCAACACAGCAGUGUGUCUGGAGUCCCUCACCGCUGGCAAGGACCUUUCAAAACAUCCAAAUUGUUACAGUUUGUAUGGGAACACAGUGCUGCUUUCAGGAGCAUGGGGAUUGUGAGGGAAGGAGCUGUUACCUCAGCUGCACCUUGAACACCUUGGCUGCUCUCCAUGAGGAGGAUGUGGCUGACCUUAUCAAGUUGAUGCAUGACAGAGCCAUCACCAUCCUACUGCUGCUGCUCCCCAUGAUCAUGUCCUGUAGUUUAUCCUCUCUUGGACCUUGCAUGCAGUAAAUGAGAGCACUAAUCUCAGAGAAAGUCAAGAUCCAGUAACUCAAAGGAAUUCAUAAUGCAAGAACCCACAGGAAACCCAAGACAAACAAACAAAUUUCUCUUGGAUUCAAUACCAACCAGGGCAUGUGACAGUGCUGAGUAACCACAACUAUAAGCACCAGCGAGCAACGCUGCUCUCCUGGGAGCUUACACGAUUCCUUGCUGCAGCCACCUGCUGCAGAGGAGCUGGCUUCCCAGACAGCAAGUGCCUCCAGCAGCUUCCCCAUGCCUGCGAGACUGAAAGCCAACCUCAUCACUUGGCUGCCUCCCCCGUGGCCAGAUCACAUCUCUGCAUCAGAAUCUAGCUGAGGAUGGGAUCCUAAUCUUUAGCAGCCUAGGACUGGAUAUGAGACUGUGAAAAGAUGCAGGCAGCCUGCCUGCCUUCCUUGACCAGGGCUUCCCAAAGGUGGGUGAUGCGAUUAGGAAUGACAAGGUUUGUUUCAACUGCUCAUUCGCUGGAUAAAAUGGUAGCUAGAGGAGUGCCAGAAAGUGCCACGGCUCUCUGGACAUGCUAGGGGAGUUUUAGCACCCAAGUUCAGCUCUUAGCCAGGGACUGUUGUGUGACUCAGGCUGCUGUUUGGCCAUGCAGCUGCCUGCAGACACACACUGCACCUGAACGUUUCCAGCCAACACCGGCAAUUCUGUUUCUUCCAACCUAUAUUCUGCACAAGUCAUAGUGGUAUUGAUGAUAUCACUGGCUGGAGAGACAUGACUGCGCCCUCUCCUAGCACUACGCAGAUGACUCCACUGCAUUAUCAGCUGAACUUCUCUGGGAUUUUUAAAAAUUUUUUUGUUCAACCACCACUUACCUUCCCUCACCCCCCACAAAAACUUUGGCUUCUCAGCAUAAGUGCAGUAAAACAAACAAACAAACAAACAACAAAUCAAAUACUGGGAAGCAAAGCAGAUCAAGAAGCAGCAGUUCCAACUCUCCUGCUGACCUGAUGGGGACAAUGGGUUUAAAAUGGACCCACUCACUCCAGUGUUACCAUAGGAAAGCAAUGCCUGCCAAGAAGGGCUGAUGCAUCACAACAGCCAGGUGUGGGUGUCCCAUAAAAACACAGGGGCUUUAUUUUCCGGUAGCAACCAACAUCUCUAUUCAGACCUACGCUGAUUUUUUAGACAGCAAUGUUGUCACUGAUAAGGCAUAACCAUAAAUGCUACUCACCCAUUAUAACUAUUAUUGUAGUGCCAAUCCUGCUGGGAGAAACAUAAGCAGGGGAAUUAGCAAAAAAAGGCUGGGAGUGUCUUGUGCCCAUGUCUUGGUAAAGUGCUGUGUGAGCUGUCUGAGGUGUGAUGGCAUCUGGGACACAACAAGACCUAUCAUGGGUACUUCCACACUCCAUGCCACCUAGGGGAACACCAGCUGGAGGUAACCCUUGCACCAUGCUGACUCUGCACCAGCCUGCUGGGCACACAGGUUCAUAAUGGUUCAUAAAUAUGUCACACAGGGAACUCCUAAGGAUGUGUGAAAGAGCAGACCAAAGUGUGAUCAGACUUCCCAUCACUCCCAUCUUCAAAUUGGGGCCAGAAGAAAUGCCAAAUCAACCAGAGCCAUCAGAGCUGAGAAAGCCCCACUUGCACUACAGCUGCCUCCUUGCUUGCCUGCCGCCUGCCUUUGGUUGACCUAGUUGAGUCAUGGGGAGACAGUGAGUGAGAGACAUCCUGCGCUGUGGUUGUCACUGGCGCUGCCCUAAGGAGAACAUGUGCCUGUCCCAGAGGGAUGCUCCUGCCCUGAACAGAUGGGCAAGCCAGGGCAAAGGGCUAGGGCAGGGCUGGCUCCAAGCCAUGCCCAUGACAUGGCAGCCAGGCCCCCCUCCUGAAGCUGCAGUCUGGUUUCUCUUCCUCUGGCCAGUGCAAGGAGCACUGAUGAUGGUUCCAUUGGGCAAAGUUUGGAGGAGAUGGCACAGCUGCAGGCACAGGCUGGGGAGGUGGAGAAGCAGCCCGGUCAUGGGCAAACCCUGCAGGGACUUUGCUGAGUGCUAUACCCAGGUCAGACAAGUUGAAGCAAGUUAAGGCAUGCGCAAAUGCUUUUCCUCCUCAAAUCUCAAAGGAAAUGCGUCCACGUGCCUCAGCACCACAGGCUGCUAAGAAUAAAGGACCUCUAUGGGAUUCUGACUCUGUGUGCUUAUUGGCUUGGCACAAUGGGCAUGAACCAACUCCUAGCUCCUGCCCACAGGUCAGCCUGCCCACAGGUCAGGGGUUCUGCAUCACCUUGGUGUAUUUGGCUUUUUUUGCACUGACCCAACCGCAUCCCAGCUCUUGUGGCUGUGACAGCUGUUAAUAAAAGAGCAGUUAAUACAAUACACGCAGCUCCUUCCCUGCUCCGGGCAGCAGGGGCAAAGGGAAGGGAAGGAAAUGCUGUGAAACAAGACAACGUGGGCUCUUCUCCUCUUCCAGCCUUAGUAGGAGAGUUUGUGUUGGCAGGGGAAAGAACUCAGGGGAGUGAACUCUUCCCUUUUGCAGAGUGAGUAAUAUGUUGCAAAAGCUACUAAAAUUAGAGCGCUAAAAGAAUGUCUAAAAAUAUCACAUGGACUUAAAAAAAGCACAGAAUCCCUGAGCACUACACAAGAAGGGGAUAAUUUACCAAGAAAAAGUUGUCAUGGAAUGCCAGAGUCAUAACUCACCGUUCCUGUGGUCUCAUGGUAAAAAUACUCAACGUUCUUUCCUCUCAGUAUCGGCGCAGGAGCCUAUCCUGAAGGCUGCAGCUAUUGAAAAAAAAUGGAUGUAUUGUUCAGUGUGUGUGUUCCAGAAGCAGCAGACAGAGAAGAACAGAGUACUGCUGGGAUCAGACUCUGACAUAUCCCCAGGGCCCCUGUGUCCGCCCUGAGGAGCGCAGCACUCUCUCGUCUGUCCAGAAAACACGAGGCUUGAUUACCCAAAGGCACACAGACUUGCUAUGGGAUGCCAAGAAGAGCCUUUGGGGAUCGUGUAGGGCUUAUCGUGGGAUGUCUGUGGGAAGAACAAGGAGAAAGGGAGGGACCAGUGCAGUCUGGGGAGGAACAAGCAUGGAAAAAACAGGGAAAAAGGACAAAAAGGGCACUGGGGUGCUGCUCUGGCUGUGCCAUGUCUUCUGACUGAGCUCUCUUUAUAGCUGUCUCCCAGGUGAGGAGCUCUGUUCAAAGCAUAGAGCAUGUAAGGAAGCGGAAGCAGCAGUACAUGGAGGGAGCAUCGAACCCUAGCAGCUGCAGGAACUGGGAUGCAUGAUGGUGUGUGCAAGUGCUAGCACACAGCAAGCCAGGCUGGCUGGUGACUGUGGCCCUCCUGUGCUCCUCGUCCCUGCCCUGCUGGCAGAGAUGGAAGAACAGUCAGAUACGGAAUUGAGAAAGCACAACGAUCAGAAGGACUGUGAAAAGGAGCCUGCUGGCAUCAUGAGUGAUGAUGAGUGGAAGGGCUGGCAAAAAGGACAGGCUAAGAGGAACACGCUGUACCUCAUGUCUGCAGCCACUCAGUGGAUAUUACUGCUUGCCUGCUUGAUUUACCUUGGUACAGAUUCUCUGCAACUCUGGACGCCUCACAGUGACAAAGUCAAGUGGACCUUCAUCCGGUACACAGGCCAAAGCAUUGCAGGAGUGGCCAUGAAUCUCAGUGCUGAAUUUACCUCCAUUCCUGUCAUAAAUGGCUCCAUCGUGAUCCCCUGUGAUGGCCUCUACGUGGUGUCCCUGAAGGGUGUUCUUUCUCCUGACCUGGAGAAGGGCUCACUGAAGCUGAUGAUGCAGAAUACAGAAAACAAGAAUGCCCCACCCCUCUGGGAGCGAGAUGUCCAGAACAGCAGCAACGCGGUAGAUCUCAUCACGAUACUCUACUUGUUUGCUGAAAAUAACAUCAUCCUGUCAACCAGCUCGAACGCCACAAUCCAGCAUUUGACAUUUAGCCUUGUUCUACUAAAUCCCAUUUUUUGCAACUCAUAGGUGAUGGCAUGAAACAUAACACAUAAAGUACAGCUUUUCCUACUGAUCCAUUUGAACGUAGGAGGCUUGUUCCCCAGGCUGUACUUGUACAGGCAGACUCCCUCCUUGGGGCUGUGGAAAGCCUCAGCUGGGGUGCAGAUAAAUCACAAUGCAAACAGGCUUCAUAUAGCGCACGCAUCUCUUUGGAGCUCUACGCAGCUAGGAUGGAUCCUUCUAACACUCAACAAAGGGGUGUGUGAAGCCAUUGAGGACAACAGAGAUGAACGCCAAAGAAAUGUAUCCGAGCUUCAUUCGUAUUCAGAGAAACCCUGGGUGUCUCUAGUCACUUGGCAGUACCUGUAUAUAAUACAAACGCGCUGUAUAUUUGCUAAAAUAAAGUGCUAAACCAGGAAGAUAUGCCAGGAAGAUACUGCCUUUGCAGAGAACUGGGUAAAUGCUCUCUGGCAGGUAAAGGCCAUAAAGGGAAGGUGGGCUUCCAAAAGAAGCUAACAGGACUCAACUGGACUGCAGGAAGGUCCUGCAGCUACCUUGGGAUCUGUAGGAGCAGCUAUGAGAGAGAAGGCUCGCAGGCCAUCCCAGCUGUCUGCAGAGUAUUGAUCCUGAGCCAUGUGUCAGGUAGGAUGUUUACAUCUUGAUGCCAGGUCUCAGAGGUGUUAGUCUGAAGGAGAAUCUCCCUCAAAAACACACACAGAGAAUGGCUCAACCCAAAAGUGAUCCAGGUACAUGAAGUUUGGGAAGAAGCAUGAAGGCCCUUGGUAACUUCUCUCUGACGGACCAAGUGGAACCUGAAGGUCUGCGCAUCUCCUCAGGGAGGACCGGAUAGGUCCGAAGAGUCUUGCUAUGAAGGUAUGCACCACAAAGAGGUUCACAACCCAACUUCCAUGACAUAUCUGUGCACCCAUACGUACCCUGCCUGGCUUCUGCCAGAAUCCAGACAGGCUGUUCCUGGCCACUGGACCAGGGGCCCAUGUUGCAGACAGCAGCUACUGAGGACAACACUGUCUGUGCCCUGAGCACAGCAGGCAGCUGUGGCAUUUCUGAUUGAACUAGGGCAGAUUUUAAGGACAAGUUGACCAUCUGGCUUCCAGUGAACCCCAGCAACAUUUUGGCAUCUCCUCGCUGACUGUACGCUCCAAAGUCUAUUAUUAAAGGUAUUUAUAUAUUUAUA